UAAUACAUGCAAGUCGAACGCUUUGUCUUUAANUGAUNUGANGAGCUUGCUCUGAUUUGAUUUUAUCUGACAAAGAGUGGCGAACGGGUGAGUAACACGUGGGUAACCUACCUCUUAGCAGGGGAUAACAUUUGGAAACAAGUGCUAAUACCGUAUAAUACCAACAACCGCAUGGUUGUUGGUUGAAAGAUGGUUCUGCUAUCACUAAGAGAUGGACCCGCGGUGCAUUAGCUAGUUGGUAAGGUAACGGCUUACCAAGGCAAUGAUGCAUAGCCGAGUUGAGAGACUGAUCGGCCACAAUGGGACUGAGACACGGCCCAUACUCCUACGGGAGGCAGCAGUAGGGAAUCUUCCACAAUGGGCGCAAGCCUGAUGGAGCAACGCCGCGUGUGUGAUGAAGGGUUUCGGCUCGUAAAACACUGUUAUAAGAGAAGAACGGCACUGAGAGUAACUGUUCAGUGUGUGACGGUAUCUUACCAGAAAGGAACGGCUAAAUACGUGCCAGCAGCCGCGGUAAUACGUAUGUUCCAAGCGUUAUCCGGAUUUAUUGGGCGUAAAGCGAGCGCAGACGGUUAUUUA
rnacentral:rRNA from 1 species